AGAUAUGGGAAUAUUUUCACGCAGUUCUAUUAGUAGGAAAUCAAAUGACGGGAUGAAGAUCAUUGCAACAGCAUUUUUCGGAGUAACUUUUGGCUUUUUGAUUGGAAUAUCAUUUCCAUCAUUAUCAAUCACCAAGGUGAGUCUCCCAACAAACUUUCUUCCUUCAAACGAUCUGUCAUAUGUAGAGGAAAAGGGUUCGACAAUUGCAACUCCAGAAAGUCAUAAAGCUUGGUCAUCAUCAAAGGAUAAUGAUAGCAGCUCAUCCAGUCCAAUCGACAAAUCGAAGGCACGCUUCUACUCCUUAAUAAAUUUAUCGAAUGUUUUUGGAACUUU